UCAACAUGAGAGUUUGAUCCUGGCUCAGAACGAACGCUGGCGGCAGGCUUAACACAUGCAAGUCGAGCGCCCCGCAAGGGGAGCGGCAGACGGGUGAGUAACGCGUGGGAACGUACCCUUUACUACGGAAUAACGCAGGGAAACUUGUGCUAAUACCGUAUGUGCCCUUCGGGGGAAAGAUUUAUCGGUAAGGGAUCGGCCCGCGUUGGAUUAGCUAGUUGGUGGGGUAAAGGCCUACCAAGGCGACGAUCCAUAGCUGGUCUGAGAGGAUGAUCAGCCACAUUGGGACUGAGACAC
rnacentral:rRNA from 1 species